rnacentral:rRNA from 1 species
AGAGUUUGAUCCUGGCUCAGGAUGAACGCUAGCUACAGGCUUAACACAUGCAAGUCGAGGGGAAACGACAUCGAAAGCUUGCUUUUGAUGGGCGUCGACCGGCGCACGGGUGAGUAACGCGUAUCCAACCUGCCCACCACUUGGGGAUAACCUUGCGAAAGUAAGACUAAUACCCAAUGACGUCUCUAGAAGACAUCUGAAAGAGAUUAAAGAUUUAUCGGUGAUGGAUGGGGGUGCGUCUGAUUAGCUUGUUGGCGGGGUAACGGCCACCAAGGCGACGAUCAGGUAGGGUUCUGAGAGGAAGGUCCCCCANACUUGGAACUGAGACACGGUCCAAACUCCUACGGGAGCA